UUCCGGUUGAUCCCGCCGGACCUGACUGCUAUCGGAUUGGUACUAAGCCAUGCGAGUCGUUGUAGCAAUACAAGGCGGACGGCUCAGUAACACGUAGUCAACCUAACCUAUGGACGUGGAUAACCUCGGGAAACUGAGAAUAAACCGCGAUAGAUCAUUAUGCCUGGAAUGGCUUAUGGUUCAAACAAUUUAUUGCCGUAGGAUGGGACUGCGGCCUAUCAGCUUGUUGGUGAGGUAAUGGCCCACCAAGGCUAUAACAGGUACGGGCUCUGAGAGGAGAAGCCCGGAGAUGGGUACUGAGACACGGACCCAGGCCCUAUGGGGCGCAGCAGGCGAGAAACCUUAGCAAUGUGCGAAAGCACGACUAGGUUAAUCCGAGUGAUUUCUGUUGAAGAAAUCUUUUGUCAGUCGUAAAACCACAGACGAAUAAGGGGUGGGCAAGUCUGGUGUCAGCCGCCGCGGUAAUACCAGCACCUCGAGUGGUCAGGAGGUUUAUUGGGCCUAAAGCAUCCGUAGCCGGCUUUGCAAGUCUCCGGUUAAAUCCAGCUGCUCAACAGAUGGGCUGCCGGAGAUACUACACAGCUAGGGAGCGGGAGAGGCAGACGGUAUUCGGUGGGUAGGGGUAAAAUCCACUGAUCCAUCGAGGACCACCAGUGGCGAAGGCGGUCUGCCAGAACGCGUUCGACGGUGAGGGAUGAAAGCUGGGGGAGCAAACCGGAUUAGAUACCCGGGUAGUCCCAG
rnacentral:rRNA from 1 species